UUCUGGUUGAUCCCGCCGGACCCUACUGCUAUCGGGGUGGGACUAAGACAUGCGAGUCGAGCGUCUCUAGCUAUGUUGAGACGCGGCAUACGGCUCAGUAACGCGUGGCUAACCUACCCUCAGGUCGGAGACAACCCCGGGAAACUGGGACUAAUAUCCGAUAGGCGAGGAGGCCUGGAAUGGUUUCUCACCCAAACGACUUUGAAAACAUGCUUUCAUUGUUGCCUGAGGAUGGGGCCGCGCCCGAUCAGGUUGUUGGUGAGGUAAUGGCUCACCAAGCCUAUAACCGGUACGGGCCGUGAGAGCGGUAGCCCGGAGAUGGGUACUGAGACAAGGACCCAGGCCCUACGGGGCGCAGCAGUCGCGAAAACUCCGCAAUGCACGAAAGUGUGACGGGGCU
rnacentral:rRNA from 1 species